UAAUGAUGCGUCAGUGUUGCUGAUUUCUCAU
rnacentral:piRNA from 1 species